UACGGAGGAUCCAAGCGUUAUCCGGAAUUACUGGGCGUAAAGAGUUGCGUAGGUGGCAAAGUAAGCAGGAUAUGAAAUUGUGUGGCUCAACCAUACACCCAUGUGCUGAACUGCUUAGCUAGAGAAUGGAAGAGGUCGCUGGAAUUCCCGGUGUAGGGGUGAAAUCCGUAGAUAUCGGGAGGAACACCAAUGGCGUAGGCAGGCGACUGGUCCAUUUCUGACACUCAGGCACGAAAGCGUGGGGAGCGAUCGGG
rnacentral:rRNA from 1 species